AUAUAUAUAUGAUUUAUUCUAUCAUUACAUAUGUAUAAUCGAUUAUCAUUACUGCGAUUAACAUUAAUCAAAUUAUGUGAAGAAUUAACGGCUGCAGAUGUUUUGAUAAAAGCAUGACAGUGAUCUGUUAAGCUCUUUGAUGUCAAUACAAAGGCUAUGUUUAUCUUUACAUUCUUACUAACUUUCCUUAUUCUAUCCCGUGGUAAAAUUCGUCGGAGUAAUGAUAUACUCGGGAACGAUGGGGAUCAAUUCCCUACUGUAUCACAAGAAACAUAUCAGUUAUCGAAUUAUGAUAUAACCUUUUGGAUUCGACCUUUACAAGUAGAGUAUUAUGCUUUUUUAGAGAACAGAGAAAGUUUUUAUACUGUUUUUGUAGAGUUAAAUGAUUCACCAUUUAUAAUAAAGAUCAUUGAUAGUUAUUACGUGAUAAAAUUAUUUUUCGAAUUAUGCAAUUGUUCGAUUUUAAAUUUUGAGAAUUUAUGUUCAUUGGAAUUAAGAAAAUUCAGAAAAUCUAACUAUAUAUUCACAGAGGGUACAACAUAUACAAUUAAGACAAAUUUGAAAGGCCAUCAAAAAUGGUGCAACAUAGCAUUACUAAAUAUAAAAACUCCUGUUUUUAAUUGUUGCAUGAUAAUUGCAGAUGACCAGCAAUUGCAAAAACCAGAGGAAUUUCCUUUAUAUUUCAACGAUUUAUUACUAAAAUCUUUUUGUAUUCCUGGCAAUGUCCACAAAAUUGUCCGAUGUUUUAUCGUAAUGAUAAAUGGUAUUCGUACUACAAGAUGUGAUGUUAAUUGCCAUCAAAAACAACUGUUUUGCAAAGAUAUAGGACUUUGGACAUUUAUGAUGCCCGUUGUUACUUCAAAUUCAUUUUUUCGGUUACCUCCAAAUUAUAACAACUGUGGAAAAGAACUAGUAUUGAUAAUAUCUUUGUGUUACAAUCGAAUAACAGAAAAAAAUAUUAUAAAUUACAUUGAUCCAGGAUUAUUUUACUGUCCAAUAAGUUUCAUGAAAUAUAUCUGUAAACUUGCAUCUAACAAUAAUGUCAAGACAAUAGUACGUUUUACAGAAUAUCUUCCCAUUGAUGAUUACAUUCAAAAAAAUAUAUGUACAUACAUUUUCGAAGAAGAAUUGAGUGACCAUAACCAGAAAAGCAAUGAAGUUUAUUAUAAUAAUGAUUUUAAAGAAGAGAUCCUAUUAGUAACAUCAAAAUAUAUAAAAUCUAUGAAAUCGUUGCGUCGCCACCUUCUGCAAAACAUAGAUCAUGGAUAUGGAUAUGGAAAUAUGGAUUAUAGUGCACAAGGAGGCAAAUUUGCUUAUCAGGGAUAUGCGAGACAUAAAGAUUCAAUCAUGAAUGAAAACAAAAAUGAUGAUGAUGAUGAUGAUGAUGAUGAUGAUGAUGAUGAUGAUGAUGAAGAAGAUGAAGACUAUGAGAUUAGCGACGAACCUGCACCGGAAGAUGAGAACAAUAAUGCUGAAGAGGAGGAAGAGGACGACGAGUUUGGACAUCAAAGCAUUGGACCAAAGGCUCAUCUGGCAAGUUUCAAUCGUGUCAUAUUCCCUUACGUGAGUAAGAAGCAGAAACAACAUUUGAGAAAAGAAAAUAUCAGAGUCAGAUCUGUUACUGUUACUGAAGAGUGUGAUGAGGAAGAACCUACAGAAGCACUGCAAUAUUAUGAUUACGGUGAGGGAACGUAGAGAGAGAAAAAUAAAAAGUUUAAAAUCCUACGUUCCUUACCUUCAUAUUAAUUGGAUAAACACAAAUGGAGUUGACAUAUCAUUUGGAAAUAUACACAACACACAAAUUGAUCACUUUAUAAAAUUGAUAAUAAUAAACCUCAUACUUUUAUUUAUUAAUUUUUGGACAUAACUACGUAA